GACUGUUGUAUGUACCUCUUUUUUCAGCCCCAGGGUGACACUAUUACCCACAUCUGGUAGCUCAUACUGUUCUCUUCCACAGGUCCUGCGGUGUAUCUUCUCAAGUGGCGUGGAUGUGAGGAGACACGACAUUUCACCUGAUGUUCCAUGGGUGACCCUACUGGUGAUGUGGACUUGACCCUCCGCCAUGUAGCAGACAACCCCCUCAGGUCCUGCGGUGUAUCUUCCCAAGUGGCGUGGAUGUGAGGAGACACGACAUUUCACCUGAUGUUCCAUGGGUGACCCUACUGGUGAUGUGGACCUGACCCUCCGCCAUGUAGCAGACAACCCCCUCAGGUCCUGCGGUGUAUCUUCCCAAGUGGCGUGGAUGUGAGGAGACACGACAUUUCACCUGAUGUUCCAUGGGUGACCCUACUGGUGAUGUGGACUUGACCCUCCGCCAUGUAGCAGACAACCCCCUCAGGUCCUGCGGUGUAUCUUCCCAAGUGGCGUGGAUGUGAGGAGACACGACAUUUCACCUGAUGUUCCAUGGGUGACCCUACUGGUGAUGUGGACUUGACCCUCCGCCAUGUAGCAGACAACCCCCUCAGGUCCUGCGGUGUAUCUUCCCAAGUGGCGUGGAUGUGAGGAGACACGACAUUUCACCUGAUGUUCCAUGGGUGACCCUACUGGUGAUGUGGACCUGACCCUCCGCCAUGUAGCAGACAACCCCCUCAGGUCUUCCGGUGUAUCCUUCCUAAGUGGCGUGGAUGUGAAGAGACAGUUCCCCUGAUGUUCCCUGGGCAAUCUACUUACGUACAAUUCAACUGCAUUACAAAUUUUAAUAAAAA